CAUGAGUAUUACCCUCUCUGUCCCAUUUUAAGUGUAGUUCGUCCGUCUUAUUUAAUUUUUUUAUAAUUAGUAUUUUUAUUGUUAUUAGAUGAUAAAACAUAAAUAAUAUUUUAUAUGUGACUUAUUUUUUUUUAAAAAAAAAGUUAAAUAAGACGGACGAUCAAACAUUGGGGACAGACAUCCACAACUGCACUUAAA
rfam:Oryza sativa (indica cultivar-group) chromosome 1, whole genome shotgun sequence.